rnacentral:rRNA from 1 species
UACGAAGGGGGCUAGCGUUGCUCGGAAUUACUGGGCGUAAAGGGCGCGUAGGCGGACAGUUUAGUCAGAGGUGAAAGCCCAGGGCUCAACCUUGGAAUUGCCUUUGAUACUGGCUGUCUUGAGUUCGGGAGAGGUGAGUUGAAUGCCGAGUGUAGAGGUGAAAUUCGUAGAUAUUCGGCGGAACACCAGUGGCGAAGGCGACUCACUGGCCCGAUACUGACGCUGAGGCGCGAAAGCGUGGGGAGCAAACAGG